rnacentral:rRNA from 1 species
ACGCACGCUGGCGGCGUGCUUAACACAUGCAGGUCGAACGGAAAGGCCCUGCUUGCCGGGUACUCGAGUGGCGAACGGGUGAGUAACACGUGGGUGAUCUGCCCUGCACUUCGGGAUAAGCCUGGGAAACUGGGUCUAAUACCGGAUAGGAGCCAUUUUUAGUGUGAUGGUUGGAAAGUUUUUUCGGUGUAGGAUGAGCUCGCGGCCUAUCAGCUUGUUGGUGGGGUAAUGGCCUACCAAGGCGGCGACGGGUAGCCGGCCUGAGAGGGUGGACGGCCACAUUGGGACUGAGAUACGGCCCAGACUCCUACGGGAGGCAGCAGUGGGGAAUAUUGCACAAUGGGCGCAAGCCUGAUGCAGCGACGCCGCGUGGGGGAGGACGGCCUUCGGGUUGUAAACGCCUUUCGCUAGGGACGAAGCUUUUUGUGACGGUACCUAGAGAAGAAGCACCGGCUAACUACGUG